AAAGGAGUAGGUUCAGUAAGACCCCUUUUUGGCCCCAAAAUAUAGCAGUUUCACAAAAUUACGAAAUUGUUAUCUUUUAGCUAUUUAUUGGAAAGUAGAAUGCUUCUGCUUCAUAAAUAUAGGCUGUUUUUGACAAUACAAUGUACAUUUAUUUGGUACUUGCAUCAUUUAGUCAAGCUAAAUUACUGAAAUCUUCACAAUUUUAGCAUUUUAGUUAAAUUUUAGACGGUUUCCGUCUGAAAUGAAAGUAGCCGCAUUCGUGUUCAUUCAUAAUAUUGAAAUGCAAGUUGUAUUUAAUGAUAAUACAUAACAUAUAUAAAGGUUGGGGAUGAACACAGAUGCGGCCACUUUCAUUUUUGACAAAAACCAUCUGAAAAGUGACGUUUUUUGGCAUAUUUGCUCGAUUUUUCAUAUUUAAGCUUGAAUCGGAGCGUUUUGAAUGACUAAAUCAGUUAAAAACUUUCACAAUAACUAAUCAAAUCAAUUGAAAUAGACACUUAAGAGUUUAAAAAGUUUCCAAAAUCUUUCGUCAGAUGAACUUGAAUUUUGAGGCCAAAAUCAGCCCUUACCGGACCUACU
rnacentral:lncRNA from 1 species